rnacentral:rRNA from 2 species
AUCGCGNCUANCAUGCAGUCGAACGGUAAGGCCCCUUCGGGGGUACACGAGUGGCGAACGGGUGAGUAACACGUGAGCAACCUGCCCUUGACUCUGGGAUAAGCGCUCGAAAGGGCGUCUAAUACCGGAUAGGACCUCNUGUCGCAUGGUGGGGGGUGGAAAGUUUUGGCGGUCAGGGAUGGGCUCGCGGCCUAUCAGCUUGUUGGUGGGGUAGUGGCUCACCAAGGCUUCGACGGGUAGCCGGCCUGAGAGGGCGACCGGCCACACUGGGACUGAGAUACGGCCCAGACUCCUACGGGAGGCAGCAGA